GAUACGAACAAUAUGAAUGUGAAUGAACAUUAUCUUCACACUUUGUCAAAUGAGAAGUUAUGCACCGAGGACUUGAAUGAAAAGAAUGAAGAUGCAUGUGCUACAUCAAUUGAAGUGCAUAUCAUUCCAGACGAAAAUGAAAAUAUUUUACCACUUCCAAUCAAAAGGAGUAGAAGAGAUUAUGGAAAGGAACCAUUACGAGCACUAUGUGGUUAUCCUAAUCAUGUCAUGAAAACACGUUCAUCAAGGGAGAGGAAACCAAGUAAAUUCAAGGUCUCCCCGUUUGUACAGAAAUCAAGGAAGAUGGUAAAACGUGAAGCAUCAGAGUGAGCUUCUUGUUGACUUUGGUCAUGAACAUGGAGUUCGUGGAGAUUUUGCAUGCUUACGUCCUAGACAAAAUUUGAUGGAUGUUGUAAUAAAUUUAGAAGCCUCAAAGCUAAAUUAUUUUGAAAGACAAUUCAUAGGCAUACGAAGUAUAAGAUGCUAUCUUCCCACGACAUUUUCAGUAAGCUCAUAUUUCUCUUGUUGUUUACUUACAUAUUAAGUACAAUAUAGUAAUGUUCGUAUUAUGUUUUCUUAUUAGCAAAUGAUUUUGU